GCCUGCCAAUUGUAUAUGGCGUUGCUGGGUUUACUACUGAAGGAUGUUAAAAAGUAAAUGUACAUGAAGUUGGUUGUUGCGGGGACUAGGGCAGGAAUUGUGUU